rnacentral:lncRNA from 1 species
UUUAGGGGCAAUACCAUCCAUGGAAUUUGCAUUAUCCAUCCAGCCAUGAAGUCCAAAUAUCGUUUUUUUUUUACCUUUUCACAUAAAAAGGAAAAUUAGUUAAUAAGUAAAAGGAAUAAUAUUAAAGAAUGAAUAAGUUAAUAAUGAAUAGGAUUGUAAGAAUCUGUUAUUUAUAAACUAUAAAAUAACUAACGGGGAAAUAAUAAUUUUGUUUAAACCUGGACUUGGCUCUUCCCAUAACUUUCCACAUACUUGACCCCAAUGAACAGGAAUGGAAAUUUCCUUAGCUACAUAGCCCGACGUUGAUGACGAAAGUGAAUGAGAUCCCAUGACGAUGGAGCGGAAUGGAAGCAUGCUGACCGAGAAACCUGAGC